GCACUGCAAGGAGCAGGAUGGGGUGCCAUACCCCCAAAAUUUUCCAUCUCUUUAUGGAAACCAUCGAGGCCCAAAUUCAUGGGUGGGAAUCUGGCAUGGAUAAGUUAUCUUCAAAGUCAUCUUGCGGAGUAAGGAUGAAAGCAACUACGUGGUGAAACUCCUGAAGACUAUAUCUGUGUUAUCUUAAUUUUUGUGACCUGAACUAUUGAAGGCUAUCGGUUAUCUUAGUUUAGUAUAUGCACUGCUGAAGGCUAUCUGCUGGAGACUGGAGUUAUCUGAACUUUUUCUUAUAUCGA